rnacentral:lncRNA from 1 species
AAAAAAAAAAAAAAAAAAAGGCAAUUAAAAAAAAAAAAAAAGAGCACUGAAGGCAUAGUAAUACACCCUUUAAUGAAAUCCAGGCAUGGACAUCACCCAGGAACCAGACGAAUCCUAAUGCUAAGGUAGCUCCUGACAGAUCAGUAAGUCAGAUCACUGUCUUUCUGCUCAGCUGAAACUGUCUGGGCCCAAGUCAUCAUAUUUGGCUGAAGACCUCUUCUGAUGUUAGUCCUGCAAAUAAAUAUUGCUGGGUGGAAAACCCUGAUUACUUCAGAAGAACUUGGACCCAAAUUUGAUGUUGAUGGAAUUGACAUGGAACAGAGGGUGGAAUUUGUGAAAUACAGUUUUCAGAGCUUUGAUAUUCUUUUUUUUCCUUCUCUUGGGAACUAAAGCAGAUUAUCAUUUGCUGAUGUUACAGAAGUGAUUGUGAACAUUGCAUCAAGCCUGAUUCAACACCACAGCUCUUUUUUUGCUAUUCAGGCGCAAAUUAAUUAUUCUGAAGACCAUACCAGAAGAAUUAAAUGUUAGCAAUAUUGGUAAACUGUAAAUGUACAUCAAGUGUCUGACAAAUCUGGAUGGGAAUUUCACAGGAUUUUAAAAGACUUUCUUAAUAUCUGAGCAGUGUUGUUCUUCCAGCAUUUAUUUUGAAAACCCCCGAAAUUUCACAGUUUUCAGCAUUCAUCUGAGAAUUACUCUCUCUUAACCUAAGUGAUCAAGAGUCAUUACUUUCAAAUUAUUUCUGUGGGAAAACAGGCAAUAUAUGGUCAGGUUACAAGCCACAAUUGUACUUCCUGAAAUAAAUAUCCCUUGAUAUUAAAAUAAAAAGAAUAA